UCACUGCUGCGACAGGCCCUCACUGCUGCGACAGGCCCUCACUGCUGCGACAGGCACCCCUCUGCCUGCCGCCCUCACACACCGGGCCCUGCCUCUCUCCUCCUUUCUCCUCACCUGCGUCUUUGAAACCUCGAGGGUUGCCUGCAUGAAGCCAGUGUUUAACUGCUGUGACACAAGCCCACUCCAUGUGAGCUGUCCAAGUCUGUCUACUCGGUGGAAAACACCACUCUCCUUAUCUCAACAGUGUCUGUGGGAAGGAAGACAAAGGUACAGGAACUUUGGAAAACAAACAUACGACACUUGAGGGCAGGACAGCUCCAAAAUGCAAACCAAAAGCAGAUUCAUAAGCUGAAAUCCAGAAAUCUUGGAUUUCUUUAUGGAGUAUUCUGAGACUUGCGGCUCUUGAAAAGCACAGUAAAAUAAACAGUGGAUUAAACGGAGCAAAACCAUGCAAUUCUAUUUGACGAGGCUCCAAAGCACAACAAAUACAGUGUCUUGGCACCUCUAGGAUAAUGACCAGUUGUGGUUACUGAUUCAAUGAUACUCCUCACUAAAGUAGACUGGAUAACCCUGCAGUCUGGGCUAAAUUUGAAUUCACGUAAUUAUAUGCUGCUUGUUAUGUUCCCUUCCAUUUUCAAUUACAAAAAGUAUUUGGUAUUGUUUUCCCUAAGCUGUUACUUAAACUAUUGUCCGAUGUGAAAUGGUUGUUGUAUUUUACAGCACAGGUAGUCUCCCGUGGGAGGUUUCUAAUGGGAGGAGAAUUCACUAAAUUAGUUUGUUGGUAGCAUGAUAAAUCAAACCCCUCAGUCCUAACAGUGAAGUAUAACAGAGCUAGCAGCAAAGCUAGUGUUAUUGUUGCUAAGCGUUUUCUAUUCUAGUUUUCAGUUGUUCAUAACUGCCAGUCUGAGCUGAAAUUUCCCCUGUUGGGUGUCUGCUUCCAGCUGUUUUAUUUUAGCUUGUUUUGGUUGUUUUGUUUUGUAUUAUGAUUUGUUUGAUUUGGUUUUGGAAAGUUCCAUUUACAACAAUCGAGCCAACUACAAGGAUGAAUUUAGGGGAGAAUACAUGGUUUUGUCCAUUAUAAACAUAACCAUUUCACUGAACAGCCUCUAGCAUCUCUCUGGUUUGGAAAAACAGCUUUCAAAUUUGGCAAGUAAAUUGCUUUAGUUUCAGGGAUAUAUUUUUCCAUCUUCAUGAAAAGGUGACCUGAAGAGAAAAAGGGUUAAAAAUGUUGAGUGGAGGCUUCUUAAAAUUGUACAGCCCAGUCCCGAGAAAAUUCCACCAAUGUUGAUCACAUGUGACCUUUUGUUAGGCCCACCUGCAUUCACAUCUGAAUGUGUGCACUCUCCAGAGAAAGGCUGAGCUUGUGCCUUGUUUUGCUAGUGUUCUGCAUAAAACAAGAAGCCUCUAAGGGACUUGUGUAGUGCAGCCCAGCUCCCUCCCCUUGAACAUUUCUGCCCAGGCUACCUGUUGUUAGAGACGGUGUUGGCAGGAUGAAUCACAUAAAAGACCUGUCUCCUGCUGUAAGCUGUUUGUGGUUUUUGUUGGUCUUCCUGUAUUAACACUAAAGGCUACUCACAGUUGUAAGCUUCAAGUAAGAUUUAAUGCUAACUGCUAUCCCAGAACACAAUGUGAUACCAGAAAGGAUCUGUAGAAUGGAAGAGUGCCUCUGAAAUACCAGAGACAGAAGAAAAAGUCCUGAGUGAGGGAAAAAGGAGCAGCUAAGUACCUUGAGACAGCUGUAAUUCUGGAAGAUUUUUGUGCAAAAGAUUGUUCUUUUCAUCAGGUGGGACUAUGGAAAAGGAAGAGGAGCAAGAUACAGUUUUUAAGAUGCUUAUUCAGAGGUCUCUGGUUUAAUACUCUGUAGUUAAAUAAGGAAAAAGUCAGUUAUCAUGUUCCGGUACAAAAAGGGGACUUAGAAAUAAAUUCUGUAAGCUUUCAUAUGUACACACAUAUGUAUAUAAGCAAUGAGAAGGACAGUGGUGUUGAAGGUUGUUUUGAAAGGCUGAGGAGCCUGAUCUACAGCCUCAUUGGGCUGUCUUUAUGUGUCAAUACCCUUCAGUCCUGAGGUGUCACUUCCUUGAAAAUUUAGUAUGAAACUUAGAUCCGGAAUCAUCCCUGGCAAUUCAAUGAAAUAGUAAAAAGCAGUGAUACUGCUCUUUAUAAUAACCAUGAAGUAAUCUGGCAGAACAUAUACAUUAAUAAACAGCGACACAAACUAAGGCCUUUUUUGUGAACUAAACGUAUAUGAACAUGGACUAAAGCCUGCAAAGGAAAAAGAGAUGGGUUCUUGGGCAGUGAUUUCACAGGAGAUGGUCUCAAAUUUAACAGCUCAGUGCUGCCAAAAGGGCCUCUUCAUUUCCAAUUCUGCUUUCCAGUCCCUUAUUUCGUGCAGUAAUUGAUGAGUUUUGCUCCUUCUCUCCCAGUCCUCGAUGGCUGAGUCAACUCAGUAGCCCAGCAGAAAGAUAACCAGGCAGAAAAAUAUAUAGCUUUCUGCUGGAUUAGUUCCAUCAGUCAUUGUUUCAAUUAGUUAAGUCAGGAGGGUCUAGCAAGCAUCAGGGCACAAAGGAAGAGCUGGGACUGCAUGACUGGGUGGGAGGCUGGGGAAGGCCGCUGCAGGCAUCAGCAAGAAGGAGUGAGAUAACCUGAAGCUGUGCAUUUCCUCUGACUUUUCAGGCAACUUUGCCUGUGAGAAAGCAUUAUGGUAUGGCACUGACUGAAAUUCUUGGUAAAUUCAGUGAAAUGCAACUCAGAAUUAUGAUUGGUUGGUGGUAUCUCAGGAAUCUUCCCAGAUGCUGAAUCCAACAAACUAGCAUUUCUGCAAGCUAGCAAACACUGAAAUAAGGUACAUGCCCACAGAAACCUACCUGUGGGCCCUGGAAGCUGACAAUACCCAAUUUUACUGUGAGCUGACAAUAUCCAUGAUUUUAGUGUGAGGUCUCCAGCGAAAUUAGGUUCUAGCUACAUUUAAUAUUGGAGAGAUUAAUGGGAAUGAAAUGGAAGAAUGUGAUUGUGAUAUGCAGUGAUUUGGGAGAGCAUAUGUAAAACUGUUUCUGCCCACCAGGCAUGAUCAAAGGGCUGUAGCAGAUGUUACUAGUGAGUGAUUAAACUGCCUUGGGUUCUGAUCAGUGUAGCAAUUUGGUUUUCCUAGCUGAGCUCUCAAAAGCUGAGAGACUCUGUCUCCUGAAGAAAUGGAGGUUUUUCUAUUCAGUAUCUCAGGAAUCCUUGGUCUAAACAAAUCCAGAUUAGGACCGCUAGCUGUGCUCUGCUUCUGAGAUAUCCCAAAUUUCCCAUCUUUCUUAAUAAGUAUGUGGAUUUUAAAGUGGUUCAGGAAGUCAAAGUGAAAUCCCAAAGGAUUUCAGAGACGUUUGAAGUGGCUUGUUCAUCAUUGUGUGAUGUUUUCAGCUGAUUGAAAACAACUCAUGAAGAUGAAAGUUUCUUGGGACAGAGGAGCCAUUUUUGUGUGUGUGUAUAUUUUCAGACCCUUUCCCUAAUAUUUGUUGUCCUGUGAUAGACAUCAGAUCUCUGAUACCUCUCACUACUAUGUGCUUGGUACAGAGGGGUCUGUUUUCAGCUGCACACACUGAGACACAAGAGUUUUCUAGACAACAGCUCUAGACAACAGAGGCACAGGAUCCCUUGCCCUUUCCAAAUUCUAGCAGAUACACCGAGGCAUACCUAAAACCUGCAUAUGCCUCAAGGCAGCUUCCUGGGCUGAAGAAUAAUUUGAAGCUAGGAAAGUUUUAGGAUGAAAGUUCAUAUAUGCAUGCCCUGUCCUUAAUCCUUCCUAGACAUCAGUUCGUGCCCACUGUUCUUGCUGUUUCUCUCCUACCAGUGGCCAUUGACUGAGACAGGAGCAUGAGCUAUCUGGACCUUUGUUCAGGUCCAGUAUGGGCAAGCUUAUGGACAGGAGUAUCCAAAUCAUAAGCAUCCUUCAGAUCAUUCUCACACCAAAGAAGAAAGGAAAGUAAAAUACAACAUCCCUCCCCGAAGGAAGAGGUCUGCGAGAUCCUAGCUUUUAUGGGGUACAUAGAGAGUGUCUCAAGCUGUGAUUUUGCGAUAACUUAUUUCAAUUGCUGGCUUCCCCAUUUCAGUCCCUUCCUUGAACCACCUCUGGCAUUCAGUGAACUCUGUGCUGAGCCAUGAUGAUAAAUAAUCAGAUAAUUUAACUCACUGUUGGCAUUUCUGUUCUGGAACUGCAGUCUUAGAGAGCUGAUCCUUGCUCAUGUAUUGAAGAGGGGAGUGAAAGGCAGAGGGACAGCCCCGCUCAAAGCCACAUGCCGUACUGUCAGGUGGCAAAUAGAAGGGAGUGAGGCUAUCCACAUCAUGAGCUUCAGUUUAGAGAGAGUGGUUAUGAUCAGGAUUUAUAAAAUCAAGGCGGUGGGUAGAAUGAAUGCAGAUUUUUGUUCUGCAAAUCCUGCAGUACUAGAACUAAGGGGCGCUCAUUGAAACCAAUAGGAGAUUGGUUUAGAAAAGAUAAAAGGGAAUACUUUUUAAUGUAGCAGGUAUGGUUAACUUGUGGAAUUUGCUGCUAGCAGAGGUUUUGGAAGCAGAUGGGUCAGCAGACUGGAAAGGAGACUAAACAAUUAAAUGGACUACAGGUUCAUAAAGAGAUACUAACGGAAUGAGUAGGGAUGUGCUCCCUAACAUCCCUAAUACAAUGCUGUGGAUGCUGGAGGAGAACAAAGGAAAUGUAUAUGCCCUGCUUGCAUGUUCUCUUUAAAUAGCAUCUCUUGUUACUGGAGAAAGGAUACUGGGGAUAGCUGGAUGUUGGCCUGACCCACCAGGGCGUCACUCGUGUUCUUUUCAGGGCCCUGGUUUUCUGUCCACAGGUGUGUGAAGACAAAUGUGGUGUUGGUAGGAGUUUGUAUUUUAUUUUUUGAAGGUGAUAUCUCAAGGUUUUCUUUCCUCAGUGAAACCUGAUGCUUAGAUCACUAGCACUGUGUUGUACCCUAUUGAGGAAACAUGCUGUUUUAGGACAAUUCACAUAGUAUUAGCUAUUAGAACGGGAUCCUUAGACUAAACUAUAGCCCUCUUGAUGUUGCACUUUUCCACUGGGGUCCUUCUGCUCUGUCUGCACAGAACUUGAUGAAUACUCAUGUCCCAGGAAAGAUUUCGUAAGCUAUGAUAGAUUUUUCCCCCAGGAUAUCGGUGUAUUUUGGAUAUAAUAUUUGAGAGUCUUCUGCCGGAAAACAUCUAGUGCAGCUGAAGGAGAGAGAGUGCCAGAUUCGACAGAUUACUAGGCAUGAAUCCCAACCCUUAUUUGUAUGAGUAUUCCUUCUGCCUUUGGAUAAUCACAUUAACAUCAGAAGUAUUGCUUACACAAGUACUACUGAGAAAAAGUGGUGAACAGGCUUGGGAUCUCAAAGCAAUGUUCUUGUUCCAGCACUUUCUCAGUGAGAUUCUGAUCUUGUUUCUUCUUCAGAACUCAUUAGAAUUGGGACAUCCAAUAAGGAGGACUACCCACUACUCAGCAGCCUCCAGUAAUUACCAACCCACCUUUUAGACCUAUCAGAAGUAACAUUUUUAGCAGUUCAAACAUUGUUUUCCUUGCCCUUCCGAAGCUCAUCCCACACUUAGAUACAUGAGGGUAUAUUAGACAGCACUAUAUUUCAUGCUUGGUUGAUUAUGGGGCCAGAUCUUUGGUCUCUGCUGAGGUUUUUUUUUGCUGCUACUCCAGUGCAGAUGAGCCAGAAACUUUCCACAACCAUGUGGUAAAGGAGGCCCCAGUGGGUGUAAGGCUGGUAUCUCAUGGUGGUUGUCAUCAGACAGCGUGGGUUAUGGUAUGUCUCCUGCCAAGCCAGCCUGGAGGAGCACAGCUCAGUGAGACCUCAGGGAUCUCGCCUAAUAACAGCAGUGACCUAAUUUGAAAAAAAAAAAAAAGAAAAAAGCUAUCUUCAUUUUUUGUGGCUGAUAAUACCCAAAGGAGUACCACUGUGGGUGCAAAGGGAGGAUUAUAGACAUCAAAUGAUAGAAAGUGUUUACACGUCUGCUUUUACGUGCAAUUAAUCAAGCUUGGAAAGAAUGAAGUAAUUUUCAUUUGUGCACCUACAAGGAGAAGCCAAGUUAAAGCAAUUAUAUAGAUCAGCCCCAAAAAAUGAAAAUGUGAGAAAAAUAAUGCCAGCAACACUGCAACUUAAACUCCAGAUUUCAAGCCAAGCACCUAUGAAGGAAGAAGUAUUCCAUGGAAAAAUAUCAUAUUCUUGCCAUCUUUCUGACCACAGAGUUAUGCUCGUUAUGGUAAAGCUAUAAUUACAGCAUUGUGAAUACAAUGCCGCAGGCAAUGGCCUGCCAGUGUUUUUCCACUAUAAACCCUCAUGUGAGGUUUGCAAUUUUGUGAAAUACAAUUAUCUUUGGCUGGGAUAUCCAGCUACAAUCUCAGCCCAGAAAUAGAUUUUUUUGUUUGUUUGUUUCCUUUACCAAGUUGUUCAAAGUUCAUUGUUUGAUAAGUGUUAGAGCCUUCCUGAUUGAUUGCCUGCUUAUGCCCAAUCCAUACUGUGAGGAUGGGUGGAGAGUUUGCUGUCAGUGGUAGUGCAUCAAUGCUGGGCAAUAUUCAGGGCUGUGAGGCUAUCACAAAGUCCACACUUUGGACCAAGCUGCCUACAUUUGUAUCAGUGCAGUCUGGGAAAGUCAGGACAGCAGGGUUAUAGCAAAUUAGCACUGACUAGCGUAUCCAGGCAUGCACAGCAAAACAUGCUUUAGGGAAUACUAGAGUAUGUUAUUACAGCUAUGGAAGGAGGGAGAAUUGGCCAGGCCGAUUAAAUGGGUAAAAUUGAAAAGAUUUGUCUAUCUUACAGAAAAAGGAAAUUCUGAGUUGACGUUACCAAAAAAACCCCAAACCUAUAGGAUUAGUGAAACUCUACAACACGCAAAAAACCACUUGUGGAGUUACAAUUUUUAUUCUUUAGUGGGGCUUAGCUAAGGCUCUUCUCUCUGUCGGAUUGUGGUAAUUGAGAUCCAAAUCCAGCCCAGUUUAUUCUUUCCACAGACAACUCAAAGGGAAAAUAUGGUGCAAACAGUGAGUGCUGAUCCCCAAAUUGAAGCAUAACAGCAUGUUUAAUUACAAAUGCUAACCAUGUAAAAUCUCCGUAUAAACCCCUUGGAAAUAGGUCUGAAAUAACCAUAUGUGUAAUGUCUUUCUUCAAAAUAAUUAUUUUGAGAAAAAUACUGCAUGCACUUAAGGGAUCUCACCUGUAUUUAGAUGUGAUUCACUAAACAUGAAUUUAUUCUUUACAUGAA